rnacentral:rRNA from 1 species
UGGGGAAUAUUGCACAAUGGGCGAAAGCCUGAUGCAGCAACGCCGCGUGAGUGAUGAAGGUCUUCGGAUUGUAAAGCUCUGUCUUUUGGGACGAUAAUGACGGUACCAAAGGAGGAAGCCACGGCUAACUACGUGCCAGCAGCCGCGGUAAUACGUAGGUGGCGAGCGUUGUCCGGAUUUACUGGGCGUAAAGGGUGCGUAGGCGGAUGUUUAAGUGAGAUGUGAAAUACCCGGGCUUAACUUGGGUGCUGCAUUUCAAACUGGAUAUCUAGAGUGCAGGAGAGGAGAAUGGAAUUCCUAGUGUAGCGGUGAAAUGCGUAGAGAUUAGGAAGAACACCAGUGGCGAAGGCGAUUCUCUGGACUGUAACUGACGCUGAGGCACGAAAGCGUGGGUAGCAAACAGGAUUAGAUACCCUGGUAGUCCACGCCGUAAACGAUGAGUACUAGGUGUAGGAGGUAUCGACCCCUUCUGUGCCGUAGUAAACACAUUAAGUACUCCGCCUGGGAAGUACGAUCGCAAGAUUAAAACUCUAAAGUGAAUUGAC